UGCCCCAUGGCUGAGUUGGUUACAGCGUCCGACUGUUACGAUCACAUCAUGUGAUAGACAUCGGAAGGUCGUGAGUUCGAGCCUCACUGGGGCAG